rnacentral:rRNA from 1 species
AGUGAACGCUGGCGGUAGGCCUAACACAUGCAAGUCGAACGGCAGCACAGGAGAGCUUGCUCUCUGGGUGGCGAGUGGUGGACGGGUGAGGAAUACAUCGGAAUCUACUCUGUCGUGGGGGAUAACGUAGGGAAACUUACGCUAAUACCGCAUACGACCUACGGGUGAAAGCAGGGGACCUUCGGGCCUUGCGCGAUUGAAUGAGCCGAUGUCGGAUUAGCUAGUUGGCGGGGGAGAGGCCCACCAAGGCGACGAUCCGUAGCUGGUCUGCGAGGAUGAUCAGCCACACUGGAACUGAGACACGGUCCAGACGCCUACGGGAGGCAGCAGUGGGGAAUAUUGGACAAUGGGCGCAAGCCUGAUCCAGCCAUACCGCGUGGGUGAAGAAGGCCUUCGGGUUGUAAAGCCCUUUUGUUGGGAAAGAAAUCCAGUUGGCUAAUACCCGGUUGGGAUGACGGUACCCAAAGAAUAAGCACCGGCUAACUUCGUGCCAGCCGCCGCCGUAA